GCUGAAUUUUUCAGCUCGUUUAACAAAUGAGCCGAACACGAGCUAGAGUCAGCUCGCUGGUAUGUGGCUCGAUAACAGUUCGAAUACAUAUAUUUUAUAUUUAUAUAAUUUAUUUAGUUUAUAUUUAUAUAUAUAAAUAAUUAAUUAUAUAUAUAAUAUAUAUUUUUAUUAUUUUAUUUUUAGCAAAAUAAAAAUAUAAAGUCGAGCUCAAUUAUAAAAAAACUCAUUUAUAUAUAAGUUUCAACCAUAUGAUUAAAAUCUAAUGAAUAAGAUUUUAUAAAUUUAUUUUUUAUAUAUAUUCAAUCUAAUCAUUUUAACUUAUUGUUUGUUGGUCAGCUCGUGUUCGGCUCGUUAUUAACGAG
rnacentral:lncRNA from 1 species